rnacentral:rRNA from 1 species
AGCGGCCUACGGGACGCAGCAGUGGGGAAUAUUGCACAAUGGGGGAAACCCUGAUGCAGCGACGCCGCGUGAGUGAAGAAGUAAUUCGUUGCGUAAAGCUCUAUCAGCAGGGAAGAAAUACUGACCUUACGGUCAGCAGACGGUACCUGAGUAAGAAGCCCCGGCUAACUACGUGCCAGCAGCCGCGGUAAUACGGAGGAUGCGAGCGUUAUCCGGAUUUAUUGGGUUCAAAGGGUGCGUAGGCGGACGCUUAAGUCAGCGGUAAAAUUGCGGGGCUCAACCUCGUCGAGCCGUUGAAACUGGGC